CAUUUGAUUUAUAAUGUACACAUGAAUUCAUUUGAAGAAACUCACGUUCUUAAGACUUAAAAUUGCUCUUCUUUCAUUAGGUGGAUAUGUGACUCAUAUGCAUAAGACUUAAAAUGGCUCUCCUUCGUUAAAUGAAUAUGUGACUCAUGUCUUUAAGACUUGCCGAAUAUCACCUCUCUAAUAUUGCCACAUAACAUAAUAACUUGAGAGUCACAAUUCCUCGGGGUGGCUUGUUUCCACGUGGGGGAGGGUCUUAUCUUUCCCAAUUCUUUAAUUAAUUACCCAAUGAUUCCUUAAUUAACUUGGUAAUAUCUCAUUACCCAAUAAUUAAUCAAUUACCCACAUAAUUAAGAAUUAUCUCAAAUUACUUAAAAUACUACUCACUUUUAACACACUUUAUGUACCCUACUAUCAUGGUCAUGGAGUACCUUGUGUGGCACUAGUCUAUAAACACCGGGUAUUAUGGCUCGGAUCGUAUUAUAUCCCAAAUUGACCACCUUCGAUGAAACUCAUUUUCUUUGAUUCGUUUACCAUUUAACCUUCACGACACUUAUUUAUCGCUCGUUAUAUAUAGCAUAAAUGCGUAUAACCUCAAGAUAAUCUCAUCCACGAGCUUCCAUCAAUUUACUUAUGGCGUACUUUCACGUACGAAAACAUGGGGUGUAACAUCAUUCCCCCCUUUGGAACAUUCGUCCUUGAAUGUUGACUGAUGCACUUAUCAUUAUCAUAACCUACAGCUCUUGUGAAUACUUUAGUACUCUCCUUGUUAUCUAGGAAACUGUUCUAUGAAUAGAUCCAAAGGCUAGGGCAUUCCCCCCUUUAUGCCUCUUUCUCAACCAUGACUUAUGGUCGGAAUCCUUCCAAUCUCGUAAAUGUUGCUACCUUCUAUCAUGCAGCCUAUAAGACUUGAACCUUGUAAGUGUGCCUAUGCAACUCUUCUUUCCUUUUUUCUUCUUUCCUUUUUCCUCCAGUUUUUAGCCAAUCUCUAUGCCUCACUUUGUAAAUGUGUACAGAGCUUGAGAAGAUAUUCCUUUGGGUGCCUAUAGGUUUACUGAAGUUCUUUGCUAGGUACUUUGUUGAACUCAUGAAUAUUGUUAUACCUUAUUUCAUAUAUCCGUUUAUCCACCUAUAUGACUUUACUGCCAUAACUCUUACUUUGAUUUAUUACCCCUAGGUGGAUCAAUCUAAUUACUCUAGAUGUCCCCGAUGAGACAUGAGCCCUAGCAGCAGUGUUACAUAAGAGAUAAAGUUAUCAGUGGUAGAUGAUAGAUCACCAUUAAGGUUAAUCAACAAUGGAUGGACAAAAGUCACAAAGUAUGAGGUGAGAUUAGACCGUCAUUCUUAAGAUAAACAGUAAUGAAGAAAGUCACAAAGUAUUAGAUUUAGGCAUAUAGGAUAACUUUUGUCACGACCCAAAACGAUGGGCCGCAACGGGCACCUGGUGCUUUAAUCAACUGAGUACCAACGUAGCAUAUCUUUCUUAUCGUACUGUUGUUGGUAACUGGGCUAACAUGGCCACAACUCGUAACGUAUAACUAUAAGUGGAAAGUAAUGUAUCAAUGAACCAUCUUUAUAAAAACAUGAAUACAUAUGGGACGUCAAGGCCUCUGACAUACUGUACAAUAUGAACCACUGUCUACAAAGACUCUAAAAGCAUUUGACAUCAAAUGGGACAGGGUACCGACCUACCCAUAAGUCUGUAGCAAAAUUCUGACAAGAUGACUCAUAGACUCGGCUGCACUCCGAAUGAGGUGGAGUCUUACCGAUCCUUCGUUGAAUGCUAACCUCGUCUACUAUGAGGGCUCGUCAAAGUGAUUGUCUAUACCUGUAGGCAUGAAUGCAACGUCCCCAGGCAAAAAGGGACGUCAGUACAAGUAAUGUACCAAGUAUGUAAGGAAUGAAAAUCAGUAAAUAAUAGACAUGAGAGAAACAUGGAGUAAAAGACUCGACAUGUAAGUCUGGAUAACUCUGUGAUUCAUGAAAUACUUAUAGUGUCAUGUAUAUGCGUAUGAAUGUCAUUUCGUGCAUAGGUACAUGUGUUCAUAAGCCUCCGAGGGCAUCCCAUCAUAUCAUCUUGGCCACUGUGGGCAAAAUCAUAAACGUAUACUAGCUAAUCAGGUGGUGAUGUGUAUAUAACGCCGUAACCUUUUCCCACAUCCCUUAUACAUAUAUAUACAUAUAUACGUGUAUAUAACAGUAUCUGGUCAUGGGUCAAUGUACAUAUAUAAAUGCAUGAAAUGCAUAAGAACUACAUUAAUAAGAUUUCUCGGAAUGUCAUAAAAAUCAAUAUGCCUUUCGAAUAAACUUUAUCAACUACGUAUUUUUCUGACACCCAUGAAUAUAAGAUAUAAUAAUAAUUCACAUGUGUAAUCAAGAUUAUAGACGCCCCUAAUAUUUCUAUGAAUAGAGUCAUUUAUGAAAGUUGCAUAUUUUGCUCGUUUCAUUUGUAUUAUUUGGAUCACGCCAAAAGGAAAGAAGGGAUAGCCUUAGCAUACCUGAACCGAUUCUCUUGACAAUUUCUUUAACACCGUCUUUUGCGACGAAACACGUAACGGCGAGAUUGAAAUAGGGAACGACCAAAUUCAAUCAUAACAAUAGCAUAAACCAGAUGCCUACCAAGUGCUCCAUCGUGAGUAAUUUGGUAUUGUAGUAGCAGGAUGUUAUGUGUUCCUUUGAUAUAUUCAAAUGUGUCUUUGUAAUGGAAAGACCACUAUAUUUGGAUCACUUGAAAAUUUGAAAGACAAAAUGAAGCAAAAUGGUCACAAUUACUAAGUAUGUUGCAACACGUAAUGAAACAAUGUGUUUGAAUAGGUGUGGGCCCACUUCAUGUGGUGGCUUAGCCACAUAACAUUAAUUUUCCACCUUUAAAUUUGAGUUAAGAGUCAUUAGUUUGAAGGAUGGGCUACCACGUUGGGAAAUUUUAACCUUUAUCCAAUAAUUAGGUAAUAUCUCAUUACCCAAUAAUGAACCAAUUACUCACAUAAUUAAGAAUUAUCUCAGCUUACUUAAAAUACUACUCACUUUUAACACACAUUAUACACCUUACUAUCAUGGUCACGUGGUACCUUGUAUUGUAUUAGUCCAUAAAUAACGGGUAUUUUAGCUUGGGCUGUAUUUUAUCCCAAAAUAUCAAACUUCGACGAAAAUCCUUUUUUUCGAUUCACUUACCCUCUCACCUUCACGAAUUUACUCAUCACUUGUUUCAAUUACCAUAAUGCUUAUAAUCUUAGAAUAAUCUCAUUCCCGAACUUACGUCGAUUAACUUACGACGCAACUUUAGCGUACGAAAAAAGUGGGAUGUAAUAUUUCCAAGUUUUCAUCAAUUUACUUAUGGCGUACUUUCACGUAAGAAAACAGGGGGUGUAACAUCAUUCACCCCCUGGGAACAUUCGUCCUCGAAUGUUGACUGAUGCGAUUAAUGUUUUCAUGACUUAUAUCUUCCGAUCUGCGGCUCCUGGUAUUAGUUAUUACAUUAGCGUUCCAUGGGUGCUAUAGAAUAUCCAUGAUACAAUCUUCUAACAAUUCAAUCUUUUGUUUAUACCCUGGGCUCAAUUAUUUCUUUUGACUUAUACCGGAGUCUUCUACAGUUGUAUUAAUGUCAAUAUACAUGCUGCGUGGAUAAUAUUCCGAAAUCGUAAGUGCGUUCAUGACGUAGGCAAUUACUUUUCCUGGUCUUUCUGCCGCUUGUUGCGUGCAUACUUUACUUAUCUUAACGUAUCUUUUCGUAUCAUAGUAUCAUAGAUAACUGAGCCGGAGAGGCUGCCAUGAGAUAAGUAGGAUACAAUAUGAAAUACCAACUUAUACUUAAGACAUACCGGCCUAUAAGGCCAAAAUGAGCAUUCUUACACUAAACAUUGACCGGCAAGGCCAUACAAUCUUUCAUAUGCAUGACACCUGUCUACAAGCCUCUCAGAGUACAUAACAUCAUAAAGGUCGGGACUGAGCCCCGCUAUACCAAUCAACACAUGUUCUAAUCAUACUGACCAAAUAGCAACUCCGGAGCAAUUGCAGCGCACCAACACCUUCCGCUGAGUUGAUAGCCUAUUUAGAGGACUCUCAUCCUAUCUAACGGGAACUGCGGGCAUGAAACGCAGCAUCCCCAAGCAAAAGGGACAUCAGUACAAAUAAUGUACCGAAUAUUUAAGGAGUGAAAAUCAGUAAAUAAUAGACAUGAGAGAAACAUGGAGUAAUAGACUCGACAUGUAAGUCUGAAUAACUCUGUGAAUCAUUAAUAUUAUAAUUUCAGGCAUAUGCGUACAAAUAUCAUACCAUGGUUAGGUAUAUGCGUUCAUAACAUCAUCAAGCCUUUGAGGGCAUCCCAUCAUAUCAUCUCAUCCACUGUGGGGAAAUCGUCAACGUAUACCAGCUGAUCAGGUUGUGGUGCGUAUAGAACGCUAUAAUCUUUUGCCAUAUGCCAUAUACAUAUAAUAUACGCGUAUAUAGUGCCAUCUGGUCAUGGGUUGAUGUACAUGUAUAAAUUCAUGAAAUGCAUAAGAAUUACGUUAAUAAGAUUUCUUGGAUUAUCAUUAAAUCAAUAUGCCUCACUUUGUAAAUAUGUACAGAGCUUGACAUGAUAUUCCUCUAGGCGCCUAUAGGUUUACUGAAGUUCUUUGCUAGGUACUUUGUUGAACUCAUGAAUAUUGUUAUACCUUAUUUCAUAGAUCUGUUUAUCUAUCUGUAUGACUUUACUGCCAUAACUCUUACUUUGAUUUAUCACCCCUAGGUGGAUCAAUCUAAAUACUCCAGAUGUCCCCGAUAAGACGUAAGCCCUAGCGGCAGUGUUACAUAGGAGAUAAAGUUAUCAGUGGUAGAUGAUAGAUCACCAUUAAGGUGAAUCAACAAUGGAUGGACAAAAGUCACAAAGUAUGAGGUGAGAUUAGGCCGUUAUUCUUAAGAUGAAUAGUAAUAAAGAAACAUUAAAGGACUUAGAUUUAUGCAUAUAGGAUAACUUUUGUCACGACCCAAAACGAUGGGCCGCAACGGGCACCUGGUGCUUUACUCAACCGAGUACCAACGUAGCAUAUCUUUCUUAUCGUACUGUUGUUGGUAACUGGGCUAACAUGGCCACAACUCGUAACGUAUAACUAUAAGUGGAAAGCGAUGUAUCAAUUAACCAUCUUCCUUAAAACAUGAAUACAUAUGGGACAUCAAGGCCUCUAACAUACUGUACAAUAUGAACCACUGUCUACAAAACCUCUAAAAGUAUUUGAAAUCAAAUGGGAUAGGGUUCCGGCCUACCCAUAAGUCUGUAGCAAAAUUCUGACACGAUGACUCAUAGACUCGGCUGCACUCCGAAUGAGGUGGAGUCUUACUGAUCCUUCGCUGAAUGCUAACCUCGUCUACUAUAAGGGCUCGUCAAACUGAUUGACCAUACCUAUAGGCAUGAAUGCAUUGUCCCCAGGAAAAAAGGGACGUCAGUACAAAUAAUAUACCUAGUAUGUAAGGAAUGAAAAUCAAGAAAUAAUAGACAUGAGAGAAACAUGGAGUAAAAGACUCAACAUGUAAGUCUGGAUAACUCUAUAAUUCAUGAAAUACAUAUAGUGUCAUGUAUAUGCGUAUGAAUGUCAUGUCGUGCAUAGGUACAUAUGUUCAUAAGCCUCCGAGGGCAUCCCAUCAUAUCAUCUUGGCCAUUGUGGGCAAAAUCAUCAACGUAUACUAGCUAAUCAGGUGGUGGUGUGUAUAUAACGCCGUAACCUUUUCCCACAUCCCAUAUACAUAUAUACGCGUAUAUAACACCAUCUGGUCAUGGGUCAAUGUACAUGUAUAAAUGCAUGAAAUGCAUAAGAAUUACGUUAAUAAAAUUUCUCGGAAUGUCAUAAAAAUCAAUAUGCCUUUCGGAUAAACUUUAUCAAAUACGUAUUUUUCUGAGACCCAUGAAUAGAAGAUAUAAUAAUAAUUCACAUGGGGAAUUAUGAAUAUAGACACCCCUAGUAUUUCUAUGAAUAGAGUCCUUUAUGAAAGUUGCGUAUUUUGCUCGAUUCAUUUGUAUUAAUUGGAUCACACCAAGAGGAAAGAAGGGAUAGUCUUAAAAUACCUGAACCAAUUCUCUUGACAAUCCCUUUAAUACCGUCUUUUGCGACGAAACAUGUAACGGAGAGAUCGAAACAGGGAACGACAAAAUUCAAUCACAACAAUAGCACAAACCAGAUGCCUACCAAAUGCUCCAUCGUGAGUAAUUUGGUAUUGUAGUAGGAAGAUGUUAUGUGUUCUUUUGUUAUAUUCUAAUGUGUCUUUGUAAUGGAAAGAGCACUAUAUUUGGAUCACUUGAAAAUCUAAAAGACAAAAUGAAGCAAAAUGGUCACAAUUUAUAAGUAUGUUGCAACACGUAAUGAAAAAAUGUGUUUAAAUAGGUGUGGGCCCACUUCAUGUGGUAGCUUAGCCACAUAACAUUAACAUUCCACCUUUCAAUUUGAGUUAAGAGUCAUUAGUUUGAAGGGUGGGCUGCCACGUUGGGAAAUUUUAACAUUUAUCCAAUAAUUUAGGUAAUAUCCCAUUACUCAAUAAUUAACCAAUUACCCACAUAAUUAAGAAUUAUCUCAACUUACAUAAAAUACUACUCACUUUUAACACACCUUAUACACCUUACUAUCAUGGCCAUGUGGUACCUUUUAUGGUAUUAGUCCAUAAAUACCGGGUAUUUUAGCUCGGGCCGUAUUUUAUCCCAAAAUAUCAAACUUCGACGAAAAUCAUUUUCUUCGAUUUUCUUACCCUCUCACCUUCACGAAUUUACUCAUCGCUUGUUUCAAUUACCAUAAUGCUUAUAAUCUUAGAAUAAUCUCAUUCCCAAACUUACGUCGAUUAACUUACAACGAAACUUUAACGUACAAAAAAUGUGGGAUGCAAUGUCUUAUUUCCGAGUUUUUAUCAAUUUACUUAUGGAGUACUUUCACGUACGAAAACAUGGGGUGUAACAUCAUUCCCCCCUUUAGAACAUUCGUCCUCGAAUGUUGGCUGAUGCGAUUAUUGUUUUCAUAACUUAUUUCUUUCGAUCUGCGACUCCUGGUAUUAGUUAUUACUUUAGCCUUUCAUGGGUGCUAUAGAAUAUCCAUGAUAUAAUCUUCUAACAAUUCAAUCCUUUGUUUAUACCUUGGGCUCACUUCUUUCUUUUAACUUAUACCAGAGUCUUCUACGACUGUAUGAAUGUCAAUAUAUAUGCUGCAUGGAUAAUAUUCCGAAAUCGUAAGUGCGUUCAUGACGUAACUAACUCUGGAUCACUGAUCGAAUAAUUCAUUUUGUUCCUUCUCAACUUUCUUUAAAUAUAGGCAAUUACUUUUCCUGGCCUUUCUGCCCCUUGAUGCAUGCAUACUUAACUUAUCUUAACAUAUCUUUUCAUAUCAUACUAUCAUAGAUAACUGAGCCGGAGAGGCUGCGAUGAGAUAAGUAGGAUACAACAUGAAAUACCAACUUAUACUUAAGACAUACCGGCCUAUAAGGCCAAAAUGAGCAUUCUUGCACUAAACAUAGGCCGACAAGGCCAUACAAUCUUUCACAUACAUGACACCUGUCUACAAGCCUCUAAGAGUACAUAACAUCAUAAAGGUCGGGACAGAGCCCCGCCAUACCAAUCAACACAUGUUCUAAUCAUACUGACCAAAUAGCAACUCCGGAGCAAUUGGAGCACACCAACACCUUCUACUGAGCUGAUAGCCUAUUUCGAGGACUCUCAUCCUAUCUAAUGGGACCUGCGGGCAUGAAAUGUAGCAUCCCCAGGCAAAAGGGACAGCAGUACAAAUAAUGUACCGAAUAUUUAAGGAAUGAAAAUCAGUAAAUAAUAGACACGAGAGAAACAUGGAGUAAUAGACUUGACAUAUAAGUCUGAAUAAGUAUGUGAAUCAUUAAUAUUAUAAUGUCAUGCAUAUGCGUACAAAUAUCAUACCAUGCUUAGGUAUAUGCGUUCAUAAUAUCAUCAAGCCUCUAAGGGCAUCCCAUCAUAUUAUCUCGGCUACUGUGGGCAAAUCGUCAACGUAUACCAGCUGAUCAGGUGGUCGUGCGUAUAUAAUGGUAUAAUAUUUUCCCAUAUCCCAUAUACAUAUAAUAUACGCGUAUAUAGCGCCAUCUGGUCAUGGGUUGAUGUACAUGUAUAAAUGCAUGAAAUGCAUAAGAAUUACAUUAAUAAGAUUUCUUGGAUUAGCAUUAAAUCAAUAUGCCUUUCGGAUAAACUUUAUCAAAUACGUAUUUUUCUGAGACCCAUGAACAGAAGACAUAAUAAUAAUUCACAUGGGGAAUCAAUAACAUAGACACCCCUAAUACUUCUAUGAAUAGAGUCAUUUACGAUAAUUGUGCAUUUGCUCAUUUUGUUUGUAUCGUAUGGAUCAUGCCAAAAAGAAAGAAGGGAUAGCCUUAACAUACCUGAACCGAUUCUCUUAGAAUUUGCAAUUCAAGCUUUACAGAAUCAACAACCAAAGUUAUCUAAUUUUGGUAUGGAAUUGUUUUGCUCUUUGAAGAACUCACGGCCAACCACUCUCUAAAGCGUGAAUUGCACACAUGAAGAACUCAUUUGAUUUAUAAUGUACACAUGAAUUCAUUUGAAGAAACUCAGUUCUUAAGACUUAAAACUGCUCUUCUUUCAUUAGGUGGAUAUGUUACUCAUAUGCUUAAGACUUAAAAUGGCUCUCUUUCAUUAAAUGAAUAUGUGACUCAUAUCUUUAACACUGGCCAAAUAUCACCUCUCUAAUCUUGCCACAUAACAUAAUAACUGAAGAGUCACAAUACCUUGGGGUGGCUUGUUGCCACGUGGAGGAGGGUCUUAUUUUACCCAAUUCUUUAAUUAAUUACCCAAUGAUUCAUUAAUUAGCUAGGUAAUCUCCCAUUACCCAAUAAUUAAUCAAUUACCCACAUAAUUAAAAAUUAUCUCAAAUUACUUAAAAUACUACUCACUUUUAAUACACUUUAUGUACCCUAC
rnacentral:lncRNA from 1 species